rnacentral:rRNA from 1 species
CCUACGGGAGGCAGCAGUGAGGAAUAUUGGUCAAUGGGCGCGAGCCUGAACCAGCCAAGUCGCGUGAGGGAAGACGGUCCUAUGGAUUGUAAACCUCUUUUGUCAGGGAGCAAAAGACGCCACGUGUGGCGUUCCGAGAGUACCCGAAGAAAAAGCAUCGGCUAACUCCUUGCCAGCAGCCGCGGUAAUACGGAGGAAGCGAGCGUUAUCCGGAUUUAUUGGGUUUAAAGGGUGCGCAGGCGGAAGAUCAAGUCAGCGGUAAAAUUGAGGGGCUCAACCUCGUCGAGCCGUUGAAACUGGUGUUCUUGAGUGGGCGAGAAGUAUGCGGAAUGCGUGGUGUAGCGGUGAAAUGCAUAGAUAUCACGCAGAACUCUGAUUGCGAAGGCAGCAUACCGGCGCUCAACUGACGCUCAUGCACGAAAGUGUGGGUAUCGAACAGGAUUAGAUACCCGAGUAGUC